AGUCACUGACAUUAGAUACCCGUGUAGUCCAGGGUGUAAACGCUGCAGACUUGGUGGUUGGGGCCCGUUUGGGGGCAUUCAGUGCCGGAGAGAAGUUGUUAAGUCUGCUACGUUGGGAGUACGUCCGCAAGGAUGAAACUUAAAGGAAUUGGCGGGGGAGCACCGCAACGGGAGGAGCGUGCGGUUUAAUUGGAUUCAACACCGUAAAACUCACCAGGGAAGACUGUUACAUGAAGGCCGAGAUGAAGACUCUGCUAGAUUUUCAG
rnacentral:rRNA from 1 species